CCUAUGGUUUGUAAGAUAUUUGGUCUUAAUUACUUACAUUAUAAAUUAGGGUAUCUGCGAGAUACCACCAUGCUGAAAAUAGCAGCCAUGAUCCGACUCUAUGGUGGUUUCUAGCGCGUAGAGCCAUCUCGGGGAGAAUCGGAUAAAUUUAAUCGUAUAAAGGUGAAUACCUUUUUACAGCUGUGGAAAAUUUAAAUAUUCAUGGUGGUUUAAUUUCGGGCACUGAUGCGUAAGAAUACGAAUAUAGCAUCCUGUUGACAUAAAAGAAAUUACUUCAUUCAGAUGUGCCUCUGAUAUUUUUAUGAACUUUCACCAACGAAUGGAAGAUGAUAUAUUUAUAAGGAGCAUUCAUUAAUACAUCAACCUCUUUAUAUAAA